GGGGCAUUAGCUCAGCUGGGAGAGCGCCUGCAUGGCAUGCAGGAGGUCAGCGGUUCGAUCCCGCUAUGCUCCACCA
rnacentral:tRNA from 40 species